CUGCCACAGUGCUCUGAGGAGGCAGUUCCUGUUUACUGCUGAGGAGCUGGGCUGGGUGCUCAGCUGUUCUGCAAAUGCCCACAGGAAGCUCACGUCACUCUGAAAGGUGGCCACAUUCCGGAGGACUUCCCCAGUAGGACUUUUUUCUUUCACAAAAGAACCUAUUCUUGGGGAUGUGGAGGUGCCUGGUUGGAGAAGAAACCGGCUUCACCAGCUCCUGGGCCGGAAGCCAGAAGGAGGCAAGGUUGGCCAGGCUGACCUCUACGCUGUGGCAGGCAAGGCCUGCCAGCCUCCAGCUGGUGGAAGCGGAUGACCGGGCCCGCUGGCUCUGCAGGCCUUGAGAAAGGCUCUCAGGAGGAUUGGAGGCUGGAGGCAGAGCAGCAGACCAGUGUUGGCCCUGAGGCCCCAGGCGGCAUUCUCAGCUCCCACCCAGACUUCCCGAGCUGUGCUUUGGGGCCUGGCUAAUGAUUAACAGGAACUAUGUUGCUCUGAGGUGCUCAAAGCUUCCGGGAAUGAGGGGCCUGCGGCAGGUGGAGGCCACCUCUGUAUGCAUGGCCCGGCCUGUGACGUGACAGAACCACUUGGUGAGGGACAGACUUCCUGUUACCUGGUGAGGGCGGGUCAGAAUUCUCCGGUGGCUGCACAGGUUUGUUCCUGCGUUUGUGCGGAGACGGGACAGAGGCCAAGAAGACUCCUGGGAACGCCGACCCUUCCCUGGAGCCCUGCAGAGGCCGAGCUGCCGAGGGCAAGGAAGACCAUGAGGAGAUGGAGGGCAGCUGGAAGGGCAUCCUGGCCGUGCUGGUCGUCCUGGCUGGGCUGGCAGCUUCUGGAUCCAGCUAUCAAAUCAUAGAGGGUCCCAGGAAUGCCACGGUGCUGGAGGGCUCGGAGGCCAGCUUCAACUGCACCAUCUCGCCAGGCUGGAGCCUCAUCAUGUGGGCUCUGAACGGAAGAGUGGUUCUGAGCAUCACGCCCAAGGAGCCCAUCAUUACCGAUAAGCACUUCACCUCUGUGAGUUACGAGGAGGGUGGUAACUUCAUCUCUGAGAUGAUAAUCCACAAUGUGCAACUCAGUGACGCGGGGCAUAUUAAAUGCAGCCUCCAGAACAGUGACCGGGAUGGAUCUGCUUUCCUUUCAGUCCAAGUCAUGGGGGCGCUGCACAUCCCUGGUGGCAGCCUUAUAGUCACUGAGGAUGAACCUUGUAAUGUGAAUUGCUGUGCAGUGGGCUGGUCCCCGCUCCCAGAUAUUUUCUGGGAGGUCGGUGUCCAGGCCAGCCAUUCAAGCUAUUAUUCUGUUCCUGAGCCCGACGACCUUCAAGGUGCAGUGAGCAUCCUGACCCUCACGCCCCAGGGCAAUGGGACUUUGACUUGCGUGGCUAACAUGACAGGGCUGCACACCCACAAGUCCGUAACUGUAAAUCUUACUGUGGUUCAGCCUCCCUUGGGCAGUAUUGAUAAACCAGGUACAUCCUUGCCUACCUGGGCCAUUAUUCUCCUUGCAGUAUCCUUUUCAUUGCUUUUCAUCCUGAUACUUGUUCUGAUUAUAAUAUUUUGCUGCUGUUGUGUCUCCAGGAGAGAGAAUAAAGAAUCUAGUUAUCAAAGUGAAAUAAGGAAAUCUGCAAGUGUGAAGACAGACAAAGAAGCUUUUGAGACAAAGUCAAAAAGUGGAAAUGAAAACUAUGGAUACAUCUCAGACAUUGCUUCCCUCCCUCCGAGGUCCUCUGAAGCCAGUGUUUCAGAACAACACAGCAGUAGGCAACCUCAUCAGCUUUUGUAACAGCCAGACUCCCAGAUGGGGUUCCUGAUGGCACCUGGGAUCAGAUGGUCUUGGCCUUGUUCUGCCCGGGGGUCACCGUUGGCCUGAGGAGCUGUAGCUCAGAUGCGUUCACAGCCCCAUCAUUCCUUCUUGGUACACCUGAUGACCACUGGCCAGGCCCAGCAAGUCGCCCACAGGUUUCCUUCAAUGUGGCCAGUCCUAGGAAGGUCAGGAAUGUGACUUUAGUAUAGUGAAGAUGACCUGCAUCUCGAUGGCCUUGUCUUCCUCUCCGUCUGAGGCUGGACCCCAGCUCUGCCAGUGUCACCUGGAAGUAGCCACACUGGGGUCACCGGAACAGAUAGUUUAUGGUGAGACGGGGAAUCGAUUUCCCAGCUUCCAAGGUAGACUUUGACUCUUCACAUGUUUCCGGAUUUCAGUGAAUUCUACAAAAUUACUUAAUAUUAAGCUGCAAACUCAACAUGGCAAUUGUUUACUUGACACUCUUGGCUAAUCCAAUAAAUAUCUACAUCCUACCAUGACUUUAAAAAUGUUUUUAUUAUCUUAAAUCACAUGAAGAUGGUAUUUAUGUAUGGGAGACAUUAGUGUAUAUUACCAGUGCUGAAAGAGCAUAACAGUGAGGAUCAAUGAGAAAUGUAAAAUUGUCUGGAAAGUCAGAACUCAUAGGUUAAAAAUAAGGUUAAGUUCUAAAGCUGACGUGCACAUUGUGAAAUAUCUCCUGACUGGAUUAUUCACACGAAGACAUUCUCUUCCAUCUGCUCCCUUAGCAGUCUUGCUCUGUGCCCUCACGUGAGUGAGGUGAGGAUUACGCUCUGUUGGGGAUGAGCCCCACAGAGCACAAACGCUGUGAAAAGCCUGGAAAUGGGUAUAGCAUGUUCUUUAAUAAAUGAGAGAGAAAAC